UAGGGAAUCUUCCGCAAUGGACGAAAGUCUGACGGAGCAACGCCGCGUGAGUGAUGAAGGUUUUCGGAUCGUAAAACUCUGUUAUUAGGGAAGAACAAAUGUGUAAGUAACUGUGCACAUCUUGACGGUACCUAAUCAGAAAGCCACGGCUAACUACGUG
rnacentral:rRNA from 1 species